rnacentral:rRNA from 1 species
UUCGCAAUGCCCGAAAGGGUGACGAAGCGACGCCGCGUGUGGGAAGAAGGCCUUCGGGUUGUAAACCACUGUCAGGGGUUAGGAAGUGCAGGGGCGUUAAUAGCGUUCUUGCUUGACUAAGGCUCCAGAGGAAGCCACGGCUAACUCUGUGCCAGCAGCCGCGGUAAUACAGAGGCGGCAAGCGUUGUUCGGAAUUAUUGGGCGUAAAGAGCACGUAGGCGGCCUUGCAAGUCAGUUGUGAAAGCCUUCCGCUCAACGGAAGAAUGCCAGCUGAUACUACAGGGCUUGAGUACGGGAGGGGAGAGUGGAACUUCUGGUGGAGCGGUGAAAUGCGUAGAUAUCAGAAGGAACGCCGGCGGCGAAAGCGACUCUCUGGCCCGAAACUGACGCUGAGUGUGCGAAAGCUAGGGGAGCAAACGGGAUUAGAUACCCCGGUAGUCCUAGCCGUAAACGAUGGGCACUAAGUAGAGGGGUUUU